AGACACAUAUUAGCAAGCGAGAGAGCAGCAUUAGGCACAUAGGAUCAAGGUUUCUUACCGUUUUCUGAUCAUUUUUCAAUUUGUAAAAUUUAUAAAAUAGAAGAGCAGUGUUCCAAAGCAUCCUAAAAGAAGUCGAUUCAGUCUUUUUGAAGUUUUGGAGGAGAUGGAUAGGAGUGAAAGUGACGUUGAAAAUGAUCAUCUUUGGGUUGGAGAGCACUAAUUCAGCGUCUGAAGCAGCAUUUGAAGAUGGAUUAGAUCCUCUUCAGGAUUUAGUGUCAUAUCAAUUUGGUCGAGCACGCUGGUCCUGCUGCUGGUCAGUGGGUUCUGUAACGUUGCUCAGAACAUGAUUGCCUUCAGCAUUUUGAACCUCAUCAGUCCUCUGAGCUACUCUGUGGCAAACGCUACGAAGCGCAUAAUUGUGAUCAGCGUGUCCCUGCUGCUGCUGAGGAACCCCGUCUCCUCAAAAUCACCAGCACACACCUCUAAACUCAGUGUGCCAACAAGGGCAAGAGUCAUUCGCUGUGCUAUGGUUACUAAGUGACUAUGGAAUGUAUACAGAAGUGCUGCGCUGGAAAAAAGCCAAGCCAAUGGAAUCAUGCCCUUCCCAGUCAACUCGGACUACCAGUACAGAGGAAACAACAUGCUGACGGAUCACUUCCAGUACAGCCGGCAGACCCACGCUCUGGGAAAGCGCUCAAACCAGUAUGAUGUGUAGAACCUGGGGAGGGAUAAGGGUCUGAAGUUUACUACCAGCGCUGUCGGUGAGAGAUUAGAUGACAGUUUCUGCAUGGGAGAGUUUGCACACUGAGACACUGUGUAUUAUUUAACCCACUCGGGUGCCGAGCCCACUAGUGUAGAUUUUCAAAUACGUGCGGAAGAUUUUAUUGAGCAUGCUACAUGAAAACUAGGGUGUACAAAAUGUGUUGCCCAUUUCCCCUAAUUUGGUAAUAUCAUAGUAUCCCUGAAUAGAUAAUCCCAAACAAAUGUAUUCAAAAUGAUUUUAACAAAGACGUGAGAUGGGAUUGUGGCUUCAAUUUGAAGAGGGGGUUUAACUGUAAUAAAAUUUUUAAAAAAUUGCCAAACAAAAAUAUGAAAAAUAUUUUUAAAAAAUAUAUAUAUUUUUGUUUAAUUUCACAAACCACAAUAAGUUUUAAUACCACAAUAAAAUUAUGUAAAAAUAGAUUCCUAGAAUUGGGGCAAUUGAUCUAUUCUGGGGUAACAUGAUUUAGGGCCUGAGUGGGGUAACAUGGGUAAAAAUUAAUCAUUUUGACUCUUGCUGUUGGAAGCAAGAAAGGAAUCAAAUUGUAGUUUAGGUGUAAAUAACAGUUACCCCCCCCCCCCCCC